CGUUUGUCACGCUCCACCGAGGCUGCUGACUGGCUAUGGCAGACAGUCACACGUUGUCUGCUGCUCAGGUAACGACAUCAGAUGCUGAACAUCAGGGAUCUCAGGACGGGAACGGAGGAUAGUGGAUGGCUGAUCGCCGGGAGUCCGAACACUAGGACCCUUCAUGAUCUGCUGGAUGGGGCAGCAGCUCUGCCACGGCUCCCCAGUAAAGGAGGCAUGUCAGCCGCAGCAUGAUUUAGGGUGAUCGAGGGUUUAUCAUCAUUUUACUUUUAAGUAGGACGAAGUAGACAGCUAAGGGCUCCACCGAAACUCAUCUGGGAACUACUGACACAGAUGCAUAACAAGCAGGACUUUUUUUUUCCACCAUGGAAGAGGAUUGUAAGAGAAAGUUGUAAGGGGAAAAUUAUAGGAUCUAU